CGAGCCUCUCCUAUCCCGAUUAUUCCAGGGGCCCACAUGAUCGAUGUUGCAUGUACUACGUAACAAAUGGAUUACUUGUGACAGUGAUGGAUGAUUUCUAACCGUUUUACAAACAGGUCUCAUUUUGAAGAUUCGCUGAUUGUGGGCGACACAAUAACCAGACGUUGGUACUUUCUGUUUGGACAAAAGAUCGUGAUACCCAAUAAGAGGAUCUGGUAACACGGAGGUGGGGGUGUCGUGGAUGUAGAUGGUACGACAUGUAAUGUAUGGGGAUACUGAGCGACUCACUGGAAAAAUAUCGGUUAAAGAUGGCGAACCUAUCGUAGAUCUGGGCGAUGUUCUGGAUUCCUUCAGUAAACAAUAGUGGAUAACAAUGGAGGCAACGAUUAAACAUUUACAUCUAAAUCGAUGCUUCCAGCAAUGUCGGGGUGAAACAACGCCUGCGAGAGACUCUAGUUUAUUAAUGAGGCGAGCUCAGACAAAGUGUUGACGUGAUAAAAACAACGUCUUUAAGGAUUCCUCGAUUUCGCUGUAUCUAUGUGGAUGUGACUAAAAGUUUCCCAUGGUGACAUAUCACGUCCAUUAUCAGAUGAAGAAAAUUGGAGAUAAUUAGAAGCUACCCAUUUGAACUAACGUUUAUAUACCACGUUAUUUUACUAUACCCGUUCAGAUACAGGUAUGUUCCCAAGACUUUUCUGACAUAACCUUCCAAAUUACUCCGGAUUGGUGGGAUUAGAUUUGUACAUACAGAGACAGAUCCUACUUUAGUUUGAAUUAUGCUAUAUAGAUCAAAAGUAUCAGGGAAUCUUAACGGUAUAGCCGUUCAUUAAUGGAGUCGAUCAGCUCAGUUUCCUUUUUAGUGCCCUAUCUGGUCACCCGAUCUCCUGUAAUUCACUCCAAGCCUCUUCGACAUUACCAGGGUUGUGCUAAAAGACCCAGAAAUGCCCUUCAGCGGGGACUUAUUGGAGAGUAUCAUUUUUAUGAGGCGCUAAAGAAGAAUUUGUUUUGGGUCGUGAAAAGCCGUCGUUUUUUUUUUUAAAUUGACAAAUCAAGUGCCCUUGCCGAUUCCCGUAUCGAUAAGGGAGGAAAAUGUCAGCUUAAAGCUAACUUGUUUAUAUACAGAAGGAUUAGUUACACAAUGGGUGAAACUUUAUGCUCCCCCCCCCCGGAUAUUAGGAAUAUAUCUAUAAAUUCUUCACUUAGGAUUCUUAUUGCAUCCAUAGGUCAAAAGUUUUGUGUCA